CAUGUAAACGGCAUGUUGACCGGAAUUGUUAGUUUAAGCGUUUAACACGUCCUGGUUCCAAAGCCAAAUUAAUGAAAAAUGAUUGGAUUAUCGCAAAAAAAAAGUAAUAUAAUGUUGAGCGAAACAAAAUGUUUGUGGAAAGACCCCGUUUGUGCUGGACCAAGUUCCCCUAGGCUUGAGUGUAAAGAACCUGUUUGUGCUGGCCCAAGUUCCCCUAGGCUUGAGUUUGAAGAACCUGUUUGUGCUGGCCCAAGUUCCCCUAGGUUUGAGGCCGGUUUCACAAACAUUAGCACUCUGCAUGUGGCGGCGCAGCUGGAGCUUCACACAGGUGGGUUGGUGCGCAGUUGAUUGGGGCUCUUAUCCCAUUGGGCCUAUAGAAGUCCCGGCCCUUUAAAAGCGUCCGGGAUUCCAUCAUACGGGGCUUGCUUUGGGGAUUGCGCAUUUCUGUUGUCUGCCACCACUCGUUGCCGCUAGGUCCAGCCUCGGGCUUUGCCCGCGCCACUACCAUCAUGUUCGCUACUCACCGGAGUGAGAGACCGGGAGAGAGUGCCAGGCUGUUGAGGCCUGUUCGCGAAGCCUUGUGUUUUUGCUUGUUACAUUAUUUUUGAGCCUUAGUUUAAUUAUUUUAUUCUUUGUCCAAUAAAUUCAAGGUUAUUUUUA